GCUGGCGGCGUGGAUAAGACAUGCAAGUCGGACGGGAUUACCUUUGGUAGCAAUACCGAAGGUGAUUAGUGGCGAACGGGUGCGUAACACGUGGGCAAUCUGCCUUAAAGUGGGGGAUAGCUCGCCGAAAGGCGAAUUAAUACCGCAUGUGAUCAGGGAAGACAUCUUUCUGAAAUCAAAGGUGGCGCAAGCUACCGCUUUUUGAGGAGCCCGCGGCCUAUCAGCUUGUUGGUGAGGUAACGGCCCACCAAGGCUAUGACGGGUAGCUGGUCUGAGAGGACGACCAGUCACACUGGGACUGAGACACGGCCCAGACACCUACGGGUGGCAGCAGUCGAGAAUUUUUCUCAAUGGGGGAAACCCUGAAGGAGCGACGCCGCGUGGAGGAUGAAGGCUUUCGGGUUGUAAACUCCUGUCAUUUGAGAACAAGGUGCGCACGUUAACUGC
rnacentral:rRNA from 1 species